GAUGAAGAACGUAGCGAAAUGCGAUAAGUAGUGUGAAUUGCAGAAUUCAGUGAAUCAUCGAAUCUUUGAACGCACAUUGCGCCCUUUGGUAUUCCUUAGGGCAUGCCUGUUCGAGCGUCAUUUAAACCUUCAAGCUCAGCUUGGUGUUGGGUGACUGUCCGCUUCACCGCGGACUCGCCUCAAAAUUAUUGGCGGCCGGUACAUUGGCUUCGAGCUCAGCAGAAACGCGAACUCGGGCCCGUCGUAUUGGCUCCCAGAAGCUAUCUUCACAAUUUUGACCUCGGAUCAGGUAGGGAUACCCGCUGAACUUAAGCAUAUCAAUAAGCGGAGGA
rnacentral:misc_RNA from 1 species